rnacentral:rRNA from 1 species
GAUGAACGCUGGCGGCGUGCCUAAUACAUGCAAGUCGAGCGAACGGACGAGAAGCUUGCUUCUCUGAUGUUAGCGGCGGACGGGUGAGUAACACGUGGAUAACCUACCUAUAAGACUGGGAUAACUUCGGGAAACCGGAGCUAAUACCGGAUAAUAUUUUGAACCGCAUGGUUCAAAAGUGAAAGACGGUCUUGCUGUCUCUUAUAGAUGGAUCCGCGCUGCAUUAGCUAGUUGGUAAGGUAACGGCUUACCAAGGCAACGAUGCAUAGCCGACCUGAGAGGGUGAUCGGCCACACUGGAACUGAGACACGGUCCAGACGCCUACGGGAGGCAGCAGUAGGGAAUCUUCCGCAAUGGGCGAAAGCCUGACGGAGCAACGCCGCGUGAGUGAUGAAAGUCUUCGGAUCGUAAAACUCUGUUAUUAGGGAAGAACAUAUGUGUAAGUAACUGUGCACAUCUUGACGGUACCUAAUCAGAAAGCCACGGCUAACUACGUG